GGCAAGAUGGCCGAGUUGGUUAUGGCGCCAGGUUAAGGCUACACCUUAACGCAGUUUCCUGGUCUCGAAAGGGGCGUGGGUUCAAGUCCCACUCUUGUCA
rnacentral:tRNA from 1 species